rnacentral:tRNA from 1 species
GCGGGUGUAGUAUAACGGUUAUUAUAUAGCCUUGCCAAGGCUAAGAAGGCGGUUCGAUUCCGCUCACCCGCUCCA